rnacentral:rRNA from 1 species
UCGGGAAUAUUAGGCAAUGGGCGAAAGCCUGACCUAGCCAUGCCGCGUGUGUGAAGAAGGCUUUAGGGUUGUAAAGCACUUUCAGAAGGGAAGAAAUAACCGUAGCUAAUAUCUGCGGGUGUUGACGUUACCUUCAGAAGAAGAUCCGGCUAACUCCGUGCCAGCAGCCGCGGUAAUACGGAGGGAUCGAACGUUAAUCGGAAUUACUGGGCGUAAAGCGCGCGUAGGCGGCUUGCCAAGCGAAGUGUGAAAGCCCCGGGCUCAACCUGGGAAUUGCAUUUCGAACUGGCAGGCUUGAGUGCAGUAGAGGGAGGUGGAAUUUCCUGUGUAGCGGUGAAAUGCGUAGAUAUAGGAAGGAACACCAGUGGCGAAGGCGGCCUCCUGGACUGACACUGACGCUGAGGUGCGAAAGCGUGGGGAGCAAACAGGAUUAGAUACCCCCGUAGUCC